rnacentral:tRNA from 1 species
AGAGACUUAGGAUAAAAUAGACCAAGAGCCUUCAAAGCCCUAAGCAGGAGUGAAACCCUCCUAGUCUCUG